UGGUGGAGUGAUUUGUCUGCUUAAUUGCGAUAACGAACGAGACCUUAACCUGCUAAACAGCCAGGCCCGCUUUGGCGGGUCGCCGGCUUCUUAGAGGGACUAUCGGCUCAAGCCGAUGGAAGUUUGAGGCAAUAACA
rnacentral:rRNA from 1 species